rnacentral:rRNA from 1 species
UACGUAGGUGGCGAGCGUUGUCCGGAUUUACUGGGCGUAAAGAGCGCGCAGGCGGUCGUACAAGUCGCGUGUGAAAGCCCCUGGCUCAACUGGGGAGGGUCACGCGAUACUGUUCGACUUGAAGGCAGGAGAGGGAAGUGGAAUUCCCGGUGUAGUGGUGAAAUGCGUAGAUAUCGGGAGGAACACCAGUGGCGAAGGCGACUUCCUGGCCUGUUCUUGACGCUGAGGCGCGAAAGCUAGGGUAGCAAACAGG